GACGAACGCUGGCGGCGUGCCUAAUACAUGCAAGUCGAACGAGAGCGCCCGGUGCUUGCACUGGUCAAUCUAGUGGCGAACGGGUGAGUAACACGUGGGUAACCUGCCCAUCAGAGGGGGAUAACAUCCGGAAACGGGUGCUAAAACCGCAUAGGUCUUCGCACCGCAUGGUUUGAAGGGGAAAAUCGGCGCAAGCUUCUGGUCAUGGAUCGUCCCGGGGUGCAUUAGCUAGUUGGUGAGGUAACGGCUCACCCGGGCCGUGAUGCAUAGCCGACCUGAGGGGGUGAUAGGCCACAUUGGGACUGAGACACGGCCCAAACGCCUACGGGAGGCAGCAGUAGGGAAUCUUCCGCAAUGGACGGAAGUCUGACGGAGCAACGCCGCGUGAGUGAAGAAGGUGUUCGGAUCGUAAAACUCGGUUGUUAGUGAAGAACAAGUGCUAGAGUAACUGUUAGCGCCUUGACGGUAACUAAUCAGAAAGCCACGGCUAACUACGUG
rnacentral:rRNA from 1 species